UACAGAGGUGGCGAACGUUGUUCGGAUUUACUGGGCGUAAAGGGUCCGCAGGCGGAACGGUAUGUCGGAUGUGAAAGCUCACAGCUCAACUGUGGAAUUGCAUUCGAAACUGCCGAUCUAGAGUACUGGAGGGGAGAAGGGAAUUCUUGGUGUAGCGGUGAAAUGCGUAGAUAUCAAGAAGAACACCGGUGGCGAAGGCGCUUCUCUGGACAGAUACUGACGCUCAUGGACGAAAGUUAGGGUAGCGAAAGGG
rnacentral:rRNA from 1 species